ensembl:rRNA 5S_rRNA 5S ribosomal RNA
GCUUAUAGCCAUACCACCCUGAAUAAGUUCGAUCUUGUCCGAUGUCAGAAGCUAAGCAGGGUCGGGCCUGGUUAGUACUUGGAUGGAAUUCCACCUGGGAAUACCAGGUGCUGCAAGCU